rnacentral:rRNA from 1 species
ACAUGCAAGUCGAACGGUAACAGGAAGCAGCUUGCUGCUUUGCUGACGAGUGGCGGACGGGUGAGUAAUGUCUGGGAAACUGCCUGAUGGAGGGGGAUAACUACUGGAAACGGUAGCUAAUACCGCAUAACGUCGCAAGACCAAAGAGGGGGACCUUCGGGCCUCUUGCCAUCGGAUGUGCCCAGAUGGGAUUAGCUAGUAGGUGGGGUAACGGCUCACCUAGGCGACGAUCCCUAGCUGGUCUGAGAGGAUGACCAGCCACACUGGAACUGAGACACGGUCCAGACUCCUACGGGAGGCAGCAGUGGGGAAUAUUGCACAAUGGGCGCAAGCCUGAUGCAGCCAUGCCGCGUGUAUGAAGAAGGCCUUCGGGUUGUAAAGUACUUUCAGCGGGGAGGAAGGGAGUAAAGUUAAUACCUUUGCUCAUUGACGUUACCCGCAGAAGAAGCACCGGCUAACUCCGUGCCAGCAGCCGCGGUAAUACGGAGGGUGCAAGCGUUAAUCGGAAUUACUGGGCGUAAAGCGCACGCAGGCGGUUUGUUAAGUCAGAUGUGAAAUCCCCGGGCUCAACCUGGGAACUGCAUCUGAUACUGGCAAGCUUGAGUCUCGUAGAGGGGGGUAGAAUUCCAGGUGUAGCGGUGAAAUGCGUAGAGAUCUGGAGGAAUACCGGUGGCGAAGGCGGCCCCCUGGACGAAGACUGACGCUCAGGUGC